CCUACGGGAGGCAGCAGUGAGGAAUAUUGGUCAAUGGACGAGAGUCUGAACCAGCCAAGUAGCGUGAAGGAUGACUGCCCUAUGGGUUGUAAACUUCUUUUAUAUGGGAAUAAAACGUUCCACGUGUGGGAUUUUGUAUGUACCAUAUGAAUAAGGAUCGGCUAACUCCGUGCCAGCAGCCGCGGUAAUACGGAGGAUCCGAGCGUUAUCCGGAUUUAUUGGGUUUAAAGGGAGCGUAGGUGGGUUGUUAAGUCAGUUGUGAAAGUUUGCGGCUCAACCGUAAAAUUGCAGUUGAUACUGGCAGUCUUGAGUACAGUUGAGGUAGGCGGAAUGCGUGGUGUAGCGGUGAAAUGCUUAGAUAUCACGAAGAACUCCGAUUGCGAAGGCAGUUCACUAGACUGCAACUGACAUUGAGGCUCGAAAGUGUGGGUAUCAAACAGGAUUAGAUACCCGGGUAGUC
rnacentral:rRNA from 1 species